GAUGAAGAACGCAGCGAAACGCGAUAAGUAAUGUGAAUUGCAGAAUCCAGUGAAUCAUCGAAUCUUUGAACGCACAUUGCGCCCGCCAGCAUUCUGGCGGGCAUGCCUGUUCGAGCGUCAUUUCAACCCUCGACCUCCCCUUGGGGAGGUCGGCGUUGGGGACCGGCAGCACACCGCCGGCCCUGAAAUGGAGUGGCGGCCCGUCCGCGGCGACCUCUGCGCAGUAAUACAGCUCGCACCGGGACCCCGACGCGGCCACGCCGUAAAACACCCAACUUCUGAACGUUGACCUCGAAUCAGGUAGGACUACCCGCUGAACUUAAGAAUAUCAAUAAGCGGAGGA
rnacentral:misc_RNA from 1 species